CUGUAUAAAGUAUCACUUGAGCUUAGUUUGUUAUUCUAUAUGUUAUAUUAUAAGAUCAUGUUUCCUUCCUUAAACAAAAAAAAGAGUAUAACCACGAAUUGCUAUAUAUUUUUUUUUUAAAAAGAAAAUAAAUAAAAAUAAAAAAAAAAUAACCCUACUGAUGUGCUGAUUAGGCGCUAAAUUCCCUUUCAUUAGCUGCCAACUUAUUAAAAAAAUUAGCUAAACCACAAAAUUCCCUCAAAAAUUAGAAUCUUUCCCGAAAAAAAAAAAGAAAAGAAAUCAAAAAUCUUUUGCAGAAGAAUCAAAACCGUUCGAACUAUCCCUAAUUCGAAGAGUCGACUGACGCUCGCAAGAUCAAUUCUUGGACAAAAUUUCAAGGUUAGAUCUAUAACCUGUUCGUUUAUCUCAUAUGUAGUGUUUUACUAUGUGAAUCAAUGGUGAUUUAAUCUAUUUUUUCCAAUACUUAUGUGGUAGCAAUUGAAAUACGUUGGACUCUACUUCCUAUGCUUGAAUAGAAUUGUUCUCGAAUUUUGAUUAUAUUUUUGCAAUUUCAGCUUCAAUUUGGUGUGGCUCAACUGAUUUUGCUCUCGCUUUCCUGUUUUCAUUUAAUUAAUUGAAAAAUGAUAACUUAUAGCUCUUUAAAAAAUAGAUACCAAGUCUAACUAUAACUUUACUGCAAUAUGAAAGUUUAAGAAACAAACUAUGGAGUAAUGCAUGAAGUAUAUAAAAUAGUAGAAUGUAAGAAAUAGUACAUUUGCAAUUAUUUUGUCUUCCCUAGUUAAAGUCAUUCAUAUUUAGUGGGGGACCAUAUAUCUUAUGCGUUACUGAGAGGCAAUGCACAAUGUAUCUCGAGACAAUUAUAUGUAGUGGGGGAAGCCAUAGAAAACGAAAGAUAAACAGAGUCACAUAAUAACAAAACCAAUAGUCCAACAAAACAAAAGUAAAUGAUGAUUUAAAUAAUUUCAGGUCCACUUAGAUAAUAAGUAAGACUAUUUAUCAAACCAAACCCACUGAAAUUAGAACAAAAGCUUAAUCUUAAACUACUACUACUACAUAAUACUAGCUCUAACUACAAAUCUAUUGCAACAUAAACUGACAAAUUCUGUUGGAAAUGUGCCAUUCUAGUCAUUGUGAAUUAUGUAUGACUAUUGAUAAUUAUUAUUAUUACUUUUCAAUUUUUUUAAUAAUUAGCUCUCUUUGCAUUUAUAGCUUUUAUUUUCACAUGGAUACUCUGGAUGUUCAAAAGAGGUUAGAGUGGAUGAGGUGUGCUAAUAGGACAGACAAUCUCUAUAUAAAUGGAGUUAAUUCCUUUCUUCAAUUUGCUUUUGGUGACUUAGAAACAAAUAGUGAUUUAGGAGAAGAGGAAAAUAAGGUACCUUGCCCUUGUAAUCGAUGCAACAAUGGUCCACAUAAAACAAGGGACGAAAUUUACACCGACUUGAUAGUGAAUGGAAUCGUGCAAGGUUAUGUUCGUUGGAUCUAUCAUGGAGAAUUCAAACCCCCACAAAAGAAAAGUAGAAAUUAUUUGGGAGAUAGUGCUCAUGAUGAUAUAUAUAGAAUGAUCCAUGACAUGUUUAGUCCCGGAGUUUCUAAUAAUGAUGACAUAGAUGACAUGUUAGAUGCUGAGCAACAACCUAAGGAGUUUGAUCAACCUAGAUAUAAAAAGGAUACAAAAGAGGCAAAAAUGUUUGAAAAUUUGAUGAGAGAUGCUCAACAAACUUUAUACCCCGGGUGUAAUGAAUUUUCUAUAUUGUCAUUCAUUUUGAAGUUAUUCUAAAUCAAAUGUAUGGAUGGCAUGACUAAUAAAGCUUUUACUAGUAUGCUUCAUAUGUUCAUAUAUGCUUUGCCUAAAGGUGCUGAUUUGCCAUCAAAUUAUUAUGAAGCACGUAAGAUGAUUACUAAUCUUGGUUUCGAUUAUGAAAAAAUAGAAGCAUGUGAAAAUGAUUGUAUGCUAUUUUGGAAAGAGAAUGCUAACCUUGAAAAGUGUUCCAUAUGCGAUACUAAGCGUGAUAAAGCUUCUCCUAAAGUGUUACGCUAUUUCCCACUAACUUCGAGGUUGCAAAGGCUAUUCAUGUCGCCCAAAACAGCAAAUGAGAUGAGGUGGCACUCUGAUAAACGAGAAGAUGACGGAGUACUUAGACACCCAGCAGAUAGUGAAGCUUGGAAGCAUUUAGAUAAAGAAUAUCCUACUUUUUCUGCAGAGACUCGUAAUGUUAGGUUGGGUUUAGCAAGUGAUGGAUUCAAUCCAUUUGGCGGGCUUAGAAGUGACUAUAGUAUAUGGCUAGUAGUGGUUGUUGUGUACAAUCUCCCUCCAAGAGGUGAAUGAAGUUAUAAAGAAAGCAGAUCAAGCAAUUGAAGAUGCAAGAAAAGAAGCUGAAACUGCUAGAACAGAAGCAGAACAGGCUAAAAUAGAAGCUGAACAAGCCAAAAAAGAGGCAGAAGCUGUUAAGAAUGACGUGGACAGAAAAAUUGCUGAUAAUAAUGCAGUUUGGGAGAAGAAGUUUAGUCAACUUCUGGAUUUUCUUGGAGCAGGAAGUUCAUCAGAUUCUGAUGAUUUAGGAAGUCAAGGUUCAAAGGAAUGAAGUAACAAGGAGCGGAGCACAGACAUAUUGUCACAUUGUACAUAUAUAUAGAGUAUAUAUUGUUCUUCAGCAAAACAAUUUGAGUGUUUUAUUUUUUAUUUAUUUUAGUAAGAGUGAGCUAGUGAUGAGACAAUGAGACAAUUGAUUUCUAGUAUGUUUGUAUGUAUGGAUAUCGAAUUCAAGUAUGUUUGAAUGAAUGGGAUUCCAAGACAUAAUAUCACCUUUUUAAUGUUA